UCCUAAGGUAGCGAAAUUCCUUGUCGGGUAAGUUCCGACCUGCACGAAUGGCGUAAUGAUGGCCAGGCUGUCUCCACCCGAGACUCAGUGAAAUUGAACUCGCUGUGAAGAUGCAGUGUACCCGCGGCAAGACGGAAAGACCCCGUGAACCUUUACUAUAGCUUGACACUGAACACUGGUCCUUGAUGUGUAGGAUAGGUGGGAGGCUUUGAAGUGUGGACGCCAGUCUGCAUGGAGCCAUCCUUGAAAUACCACCCUUUAAUGGCUGGUGUUCUAACGUGGGCCCCUAAUCGGGGUUGCGGACAGUGUCUGGUGGGUAGUUUGACUGGGGCGGUCUCCUCCUAAAGAGUAACGGAGGAGCACGAAGGUCAGCUAAUCCUGGUCGGACAUCAGGAGGUUAGUGCAAUGGCAUAAGCUGGCUUGACUGCGAGCGUGACGGCGCGAGCAGGUGCGAAAGCAGGUCAUAGUGAUCCGGUGGUUCUGAAUGGAAGGGCCAUCGCUCAACGGAUAAAAGGUACUCCGGGGAUAACAGGCUGAUACCGCCCAAGAGUUCAUAUCGACGGCGGUGUUUGGCACCUCGAUGUCGGCUCAUCACAUCCUGGGGCUGAAGUAGGUCCCAAGGGUAUGGCUGUUCGCCAUUUAAAGUGGUACGCGAGCUGGGUUUAGAACGUCGUGAGACAGUUCGGUCCCUAUCUGCCGUGGGCGCUGGAGAAUUGAGGGGGGCUGCUCCUAGUACGAGAGGACCGGAGUGGACGCAUCACUGGUGUUCGGGUUGUCAUGCCAAUGGCAUUGCCCGGUAGCUAAAUGCGGAAGAGAUAAGUGCUGAAAGCAUCUAAGCACGAAACUUGCCCCGAGAUGAGUUCUCCCUGACUCCUUGAGAGUCCUGAAGGAACGUUGAAGACGACGACGUUGAUAGGCCGGGUGUGUAAGCGCAGCGAUGCGUUGAGCUAACCGGUACUAAUGAACCGUGAGGCUUAACCUU
rnacentral:rRNA from 1 species